UUCUAUUUUUCUGCAAUUUUAUAGCUGUCACUUCUUUUCUCAUUCAAUGUCAAUUUUCUCUUAGUUCCGGAUGUUUUAGUUGCGACUCAUUGAAUUAGCUUUAACUACCAAAGGCGUAUAUGUAGAUGUGUGCAUUUAAAAACCGGCAAGCCAGAAGUAAUGCUGACGCAAAACAAACUUGAUUUCUUAAGAAUAACGGACUUUUUCGCCGAACACGAGUUAAUCGUAAAUUUUAUUUGUAAAAUAUUUCUACAAAAUACUAUGAAGCUCGCAUGGUAUUUACGGACCGCCAAGCACGUGCUGUUUGAGAACAAAGAAGAUUUUUUGUACCUCAGUAAUCUGCAGGGAGAUAAAUUGUAAGAAGAGUUCCAUAUUUUAUGCUCAACUUGUGUGGCGCGGCGGAAAAAUUUUGUGAUUAUGUGAAUUCAACUCACGCUGAGAUAAAAAAAAGAGGUACGACAUGACGUAUACGUAACAAUUUGCACUUGAUGUUCGCAGGCGAUG